rnacentral:rRNA from 1 species
AUUGAACGCUGGCGGCAGGCCUAACACAUGCAAGUCGAACGAGUGGCGGACGGGUGAUUAAUGUCUUGGAAACUGCCCGAUGGCGGGGGAUAACUACUGGAAACGGUAGCUAAUACCGCAUACCAUCGGAUGUGCCCAGUUGGGAUUAGCUCGUAGGUGGGGUAACGGCUCACCUAGGCGACGAUCCCUAGCUGGUCUGAGAGGAUGACCAGCAACAGUGGAACUGAGAAACGGUCCAGACUCCUACGGGAGGCAGAAGUGGGGAAUAUGGCACAAGGGGCGGAAGCCUGAUGAAGACAUGCGGCGUGUAUGAAGAAGGCCUUCGGGGGGUAAAGUACGUUCAGCGAGGAGGCGUUACUCGCAGAAGAAGCACCGGCUAACUCCGUGCCAGCAGCCGCGGUAAUAC